GGCAAUAAUUUCAUCUUUCCCUGUUGCAGCACUUCCUCUUAUCACACUCAAUCCCUUGCUCAACACUUUCUCCCUCUUUAAUAUUCUCAAUACUUCAAUACUCUCAUCCAUCUACACAUUCAUAUCUCUUGACACCUUGUACUCUUAAGGUGGCAAUGGGUCCAACUUUCCCUAUUCCAGCUAGCACUA